GCCGGGCACGGUGGUGCACGCCUGUAAUCCCAGCAGCUUGGGAAGCUGAGACAGGAGGAUCAAGAGUUCAAAGCCAGCCGCAGCAGGUGCUAAGCAACUCAGUGAGACACUGUCUCUA
rnacentral:sRNA from 1 species